CGGGCCGGCCAGACAGUCGCUGGUGGUGCAAGCCACUGGAGGAAAGUCCGGGCUCCACAGGGCAGGGUGCCAGGUAACGCCUGGGGGCCACACUGGCGACGGUGUGGCUACGGAAAGUGCCGCAGAGAAGAUACCGCCGAUGGCGCUCUCCUUCGGGAGAGUUGCACAGGUAAGGGUGAAAAGGUGCGGUAA
rnacentral:RNase_P_RNA from 1 species